GCCUCGGUGGUGUAAUGGUAAAGUACGCGCCCCUGGUAUGGCUGAAACUGUGGUUCGAUUUCCGUCUGAGGCC